CAUCCCCUGCGGUGUACGUGAGCAGGCCAAGUAAACCCUUGAGCCUUAAUUCAACCCUACGGGAUCCUCUACUGAUGUUGUUGUGCAUGUCCUCCUAGAGAGGAAAGCCUGAUACAUCAUCCAGGCUCCCACCUGAACCCCCAGGUUCAAGGUCAAUGGUUUGUAACGGCACAGGCGGGGGAUGU
rnacentral:other from 1 species